rnacentral:lncRNA from 1 species
CUGGCCCAGAGCCAUCAUCAUCAGUGAUGAGUCGGGGCUCCCACUUGGUGAGUGAAGUGAGAGAGCUCAUAGCAGGCAGUGGGGAGUCGUCUCUGGAGACCUAUAUCCUGGUGUGGCCCUGGGAGGGCUGCUGCUUCAUCCAGAGAAUGAUUGUGCUAACCUUCCAGGGUGAUUGUAAAGAUCAGAGAUGACUGCAUUGGGUCAGGCCCUUAGCAGUUUCUUCAUAAAGAGAGCUCUGUGAUCCUGGUGGAGGGGAGCCUUUGCCCUGGGCAGCUCACCUGGGUCCAGCUUAGCUUUCCUGCCGGUGAGGGUGCCUUUAACUGCCCAGGAAGGUCAGGUACUGUGGCUGCAGGCUCAGUUCAUCCCCAGACAGAACUUGUCUCCCACAAGUCCUGUUGGGUUGAUGGGCUUGACUGAAGAGGGAAGGGUGUCAUCUCUCCUUCUUGUGUACAUGUAUGUCACCAGCAGAACUCGUGGCAUUGUGAUUCUCCUUGUCCUAUGGCUUCAUAGGACAAUGGUACAGGCAUCAUGAAAACCCCACUUACUAGGAAGAAAGCACUUUUAUCAAAUAACCAUGGUCAUACUCAAUGGGAGUCACAAGGCACAAAGUCUACAUGAAGAGUGUUACCAGAAAGUAUAGCAUCUGGGGGUCAUGUGUGCAGCAGAGCUGGUGGUUGGUUUAGUGACCUGUGGUGAGCAUGACUCCUUGUGGCUGGGAAUUGCUGGUAUGAACGCUAUGGCCACAAGCAGUGAAGACGAGCCUCCUACCCCAGUCGUCCUGGAAGACUUGUGUAAGCUGAGCAUAGCUGGCUGGGCCUCGGUGAGCAAGAGGAUGCACCACCCUGUUAUGUGCAUUUAAGUGGACAAGGGGUGCAGAGUGGCAUGUAGGAAUUUAGAAUUCAGAAAUAGUGGUAUUUACAGGUGUGUGGAAAUACGUGAGUGCAGCUCAAAUGUGAAAGCAGAAUUGGUCAGUUCUAUGUUGGUGACUCAGGCUGAGUCGCUCAGGUCUAUUGGACUUGGACGUGGUAGGAAGAAGGGUGCCUAGAGGGCACCUAGAAGGUGCACUCUGGCCGCAUUUUGGAAGAUCACUUCCCGUGACUCUGCUCAGUUUGAACCAUACUGGCUCACUGACACUCUUUGGUGGGUGGGUUAUGAACAACCAUUUGCUUUUCUACUUUGCUUAUGAGACUCAGAUUUCUGAAUUCCGAGCUCGUUUUUUUUUUUUUUCUAGAAAAUCAUGUUUUCAUUUAGGCUUUCAAAUUUGUUGGCAUUAAUUUUUAUACUGAUGCCUGAAAUACUUAUAUUUGAAUUAUAACCCUUUCAUUCCUAAUAUUACAUAUUCGUAUUUUCUUUUUCCUUCCUGAUCACUUUUACCAGUGGAAUUAUAGCUUAUGUCUUUCAAGAAUUAUCUCUUGAUAUUACCAUUUUACUAUGUAUAGAUGCCAUUUUCUGCUUUUUUUGUAAUUUACUGUUCUGUAUUUAAUGCUUUUCCUCUUCCUCGUUUGGUUUAUUUUUUCCUGAAUUGAAUGCUAAUGGAAUUUUUUCUCGUGCUUCUGACGGAAUCAUUCUCUGCAUUAACUUGAGUUACAUCACAGGCUUUCGUAGGGUGCUUUUCUAUGUCCUUAAUUCCUAACUAGUCCGUGAUUCUCUUAUUUCCUUCUGACUGUGGAUAUAGGUACAGUUCAGAAUGUCUAAGAAGUUUCCUUUUUUUCCCCUCAUUUUUUUGUUUCUGAAAAAGAAGAAUAGAAAAAGACGCAGAAAUUUGUCAAAUCAUAUAUCAAAAAAGAAAAUGCUACUAUGUAUGAAGUGGUAGGACACAACAGAAACAUCAGUGGACUAGAACAAAGUAUCCAAAAGCUGGUGUUUGUCAUGGGUCCUUAGAGUCUGUGAAGGUUCGCUUCAGAGAUAAUGUGAACUGAUUACUCAACAGAUGCUUUGGGGUAAACGGCUUUGGGCAAACCAUUUGGAAAAAAAAAUUAAGAGUUUUACCUCCUGUGGCACAGGAAAACACAUUCACCUACAAUUGCCAUUCACAUUGUUUCUGGUGUUACAAAGAGAGCUGCUAUGAACAGGUGUGUAAGCUUCUUUCUCUGAGUAAAUGCCGUUAUUUCUCUGGUGACGAGGAGAGGGAACGGCUAGACCAUCUAUGGUAGGUUUAUGGCUGAGGUGUUCAGAGACAGGCCCCUGUGGUCAGAGUGUGUCACUGUCUCUAGUUGCUGCCCAUGCUUGUCCGCGCUUCCCAGAGUGCCCUCUCCACACGAGAGGUCCUCACAGGUGUGUGGUGCCAUCUCUCUGGUGUCUAAUGACAUUGGGUGUGUUUUCAUGUGCUUAUCUGCCAUGAAAUUGUUAAAAUAUUUGCUGAUGUUUUAUUGGGUUGUUUUCUUACAGAGUUUUGAGAAUUGUUUAUGUAUCUGGAUAUAAGUCUUUUAUCAUGUAAGUGAUUUGCACAUUUUUCCUCCCAGUUUCUUUUUUAAAAACGUUAAGCAUCUAUCAGGCUCUGUGCUUGAGUGGAGAAAUUUUUAUUUCAGCCCAUGGUGUCGACAGUCUCCCAUAGGUACAGUGUGCAGGGAGAAGAAUCCAGACAAAUGACUAUACAUAGAGAAUCAGAACAAAGCUGCUACUCCUUUUUUUUGUUGUUGUCAUUUUAACCACAAAAUGAAACUUGUCCGAAAAAGCGGUAUCUAUGGAUUAGCCUGCAAUUAACCAAGAGUCAUCACUAUGACUAUAGUAGUUUUCAAUUGUUGUCAAUUUUAAAUCAUAGCUAUUUGUUUAGAGGGGCCUGUCCAUCACAGGUGGCUGUUGAGCACUUGAAAUGUGCCUAUUCUGAAUUGAGAUGUGCUAUAAGUGUAAAACACACUGCAAAUUCCAAAUAUUUAGUAUGAAAAAAGGAAUGUAAGAUAGCUCAAUAUUUUUUCAUACAGCUACAUGUUGAAGUGCUAUUUUGUAUAUGUUAGCUUAAAUAAAAUAAUACUAAA